rnacentral:rRNA from 1 species
CGGGGUGAGUAACGCGUGGGCAACCUGCCCCGCACUGGGGGACAACAGCCGGAAACGGCUGCUAAUACCGCAUAUGCGCACAGCUUUGCAUGAAGCAGUGUGGAAAACUCCGGUGGUGCGGGAUGGGCCCGCGUCUGAUUAGCUGGUUGGCGGGGCAACGGCCCACCAAGGCGACGAUCAGUAGCCGGCCUGAGAGGGUGGACGGCCACAUUGGGACUGAGACACGGCCCAGACUCCUACGGGAGGCAGCAG